rnacentral:rRNA from 1 species
GACGGAGGUCGCAAGCGUUAUUCGGAAUUAUUGGGCGUAAAGAGUGUGUAGGCGGCCGGUUAAGUCAGGCGUGAAAGCCCAGGGCUCAACCCUGGAAGUGCGUUUGAAACUGGCUGGCUUGAGUUCGGGAGAGGGAAGCGGAAUUCCGGGUGUAGAGGUGAAAUUCGUAGAUAUCCGGAGGAACAUAGGUGGCGAAGGCGGCUUCCUGGACCGAAACUGACGCUGAGACACGAAAGCGUGGGGAGCAAACAGG